rnacentral:rRNA from 1 species
UUAAAUUGAAGAGUUUGAUCAUGGCUCAGAUUGAACGCUGGCGGCAGGCCUAACACAUGCAAGUCGAACGGUAACAGGAAGCAGCUUGCUGCUUCGAUGACGAGU